rnacentral:lncRNA from 1 species
AACGAUUAUGCUUGUUGGGGGACUUGCUCAUCACAGUACGGACAGACUUCUCAAGCACAGUUUCACGGAAGGAAACAACUGGAUCUGACUGAAUAAUUUCAGCACCACCCAUAAAGUCAUCCUGCAAAUCCUUCAAGCAGAUCUCAAGGUGAAGCUCCCCAGCACCAGCAAUAAUAUGCUCUCCAGACUCUUCAAUAGUACAAACAACCAUAGGAUCAGAUUUGGACAAUCGCUUCAGCCCUUCCACAAGUUUGGGAAGGUCAGAGGCAACCUUGCACUGAACAGCCACACGCACAACAGGUGAGACAGAAAACUUCAUUGCUUUGAUAGGAUGGGCAUCAACUUCUUUCUCAUUUGUCAAAGUAGCAUUUUUGGUGAUAAACUGAUCCAAACCAACCAGAGCAACUGUGUUUCCGCACGGCACAUCUUCCACAGUUUCCUGCUUCUUU